CUCACACUGUUGUCCAGGCUGGAGCACAAUGGCACGAUCUUGGCUCACUGCAACCUCGGCCUCCCAGGUUCAAGCAAUUCUCCUGCCUCAGCCUCUCGAGUAGCUGGGAUUACAGGCACCCACCACCAGGAAGAAAGACCAUGGGCUGAAAGUGAGAGGAGGGGAAAAGCAUUGGAGCUAUGAGAAGAGACAUCCCUCCCAAGGCUAUUGUGAGCCUUGUGACACAAGUCCAAGACCUUGCACAUAAGAGGAGGUACUUAGAAAUGGAGCUUGGCUUGAAGAAAAGCCUCUCAGUGGAAAUGCUUUUGAACCUGCUGGAUUUGUCUGGGCUGAGCCCUUCUGGGACAUUCCCCUGCACAAGGACCCCAGCUCCAGAAAGCAUGUGUGAAGGACUGUGACAAAAUCCUUUGGCUAGAUGACUCCUUUCCUUGUUCUUCAGGAGCCUCCUCCAGCCCCUUCUUGCCCCUAGAUGGCACCUCCAUAUCAGGGUGACUUCAGUUACUUCUGUUUGGAAUGCCAAACCCUGGAGACCAAAAGUCCUUUUCAGUAUUCCACAAAGAGGAUUUCAUCUCAUCUGCGACCUGGAAACAGGAGGUGUCAGGGGAGCACGGAUGAAUCUACAAAGGGGCCGUGUGCUGUUGUCUCCUCUACCUUGCUGCGUAGGGCCUGAGCCUCCACUGGUUUCAAAAUUAAAUAUUCCUUCUCACUCAAUGGAAGGAAACUGAAACCACUGCAUCGUUAGCACUGGGUUUGUAAAAAUGCUUCUCCCCGGAGUAUCUUUAACAUUCAUUUUAUUUUGUUGAAACCCAGCUUGUCCUUUUUUAUCCAGAGCAGCAGAGACCUUCUGAGCAGAGGCUUUAGCCAAAAAAGGAAGAUAUUCUGGCAAAUUUCUAGAGAUAGAAAAAUUCCCUUUUCAAGCAGCUUAUUUUGUUAGAGAUGCUUUCAUUCUUGCUCUGCCUCUUUUCACACACGCACAUGCACACAUAUACACAGGCACCACCAUCACCACCAUCACUACCACCGCAUUCAUUCCUCCACACUCACCACACCACACUACAAAACACACAUUACACAACAUGCACAUGCUCAUCCAUAGAACCCAGACCCCACUGUACAUGCACACACCAUACAAACACAGCACACUUGACCUGCACAACACAGCACAUUUGUACAUCACACACUGUACCACACAUACACACAUAUACCCCUCACACUCAGACCACACCGCACUGCACAUGAGCACACACACACCAUACUCACACAAAAAACACACUUGACCUACACAGCAACUCAUACCACAUCUCACACACAACACACGUGCACACACACAGACACCAUCACACACUUGACCUGCAUAGCACACCCACAUGACAUCACACACACACCGUAUUACUCAUAGACACACUCGCCUCAUCACUACCACAUCCAUAGCCCCCACCACAUACUCACAUCCCUUCUCCCCCAGCCUCUCCCCCAUCCCAGCCUUCCACUCUUGCGCUUUAAAAAACAGAUGUGGUUCUGUGACUUCCCUGAAAACGAAAGGGAUGUACACUGCCCUGGCUAUUUUUCCUGUCCCAACAGGCACUGAAGUAGCCCAGAUGUCUUUCUUCCUGCUUGUGAACGGUGGGGGGAAGAGGCAGAAUAUGCACAAGCCAGGGUUCUGGGAUGGAUCAGAGCAUUAAUUAAAAAUUAGUGAGUCGUUCGUGAGGCAAUCACUUUAGGCCAGAGCAAGCCUUGGACUGAGACCUUCUCCCUGCUUGCUCAUUAAGAUGGCUCAUGGAACUGGCAAUCUGGAAUAAAUUGAGUCCAGGGCAGAUGGUCAGAGCUAGACAAUAAGAACUUCGAAGCAUCCACCCUUCUAAUUUUCCUCCACAUUCCUCAUUUAAUGAUAAAGAAAUUUAAAAAAUAAAGUCUCAGAGGGGAGGGAUGAAGGAGCUCCAACCAUCCAGCUCUGCUAAUUAGAAAGAGCAAAUCUAAUCAAGGUUGAUCAUCAACUUUACAAAUUAUCUGUAGUCAAAUUUUUAUGCCGCAGUAGUUUCUCCAUUCCCACCCCUCCUUCAGAGUCACUCUCCUCUCCCACCUAGCCAGAGUAGUCUCGGAGAUCAUGGAUAUUUUUAAUACCUGUCUGGAAAAACAUAACUCAGAAAGCAAUUCUGCUGCAAACUCUCCCAGUUAGGCCAUCCACAGCCAAGUCCAAGUGACUCCCUGAGCACCUGUGCAUUGGUGCUAUCCAUCCCACUCUGUCCUUCCAUCAGCUUGGAUGCUUGAAAACUAUUCCCUCUUGCCUAGAGGUGUCAAGUUUGAGUUGUUUGAGUUACUAAUACUCAGCUAUUUCAACCAUUGAAACAUUGCCAAGUGGCAGUAAAGGUGGUAGAUCACAGUGGUUAAGAUCUUGGGCUCCUGAUUCAGUCUAUGUUUGGAUCCUGGCUAGAACACUGGGCCUAUCGACCCUGAGCCUAAGGUCUCUCAUGUAUAAAAUGGAUAGUAGGAUUCACUUCAUAGAGAAGGUGGAGAGGAGUAAAUGAGGUGAUGCACAGUGCCUGGCGCAUAGCGAGGCUGCAAUAAAUGGCAGCUACUAUUAUUAUGAAGGCCUCCAAAAUACCUGAUGGAUGAGUUCAUUGUUCUAGAACGUUUUGUUGCCCUGAUAGUGCCCUGCAACCGGAAACACAGAGGGGAGAUUUUAGCAGCAUAUUUUCAAAAAGAUGAACUGCUGUUUCUGAAUUGUAGUGAGAAAACAGCAGGCUAGUUGAGAGUUUUACUCCACUUGUUCUCAGCAUCAGUGAUGGGGGUCAUCAUAAUGAGUGACCACGUUGUAAUCAUGUCCUUGCCCUUCCCAUAGUCACCCUCAUGAAACCCCCUUGUCUAUUUCGCUUGUUCACCCAUCUGGAAAGAGGUCUCCUUCUCCUUUGUAUGAAAUUGGCAAGUUAUUAUUAGAGUAAUAAUACCUGUUAUUACCAGCCAAUCUCUCUUUCAAUAGUAAAUUAUUAUUAUACACUUGGCUAAAAAAGCCUGUGCUGUUGUAAUUUGUAAAGGCCAGAUUAAGCAGAACAAUAAAAUUCGAAG
rnacentral:lncRNA from 10 species